rnacentral:misc_RNA from 1 species
UCGUAUAACAGAGGUGCUGGGGCUGUCGCUGGCCUUUUCCUUUCAAGGUCGUGCACGCCCCGAGUGUUCUCAUCCACACACAUCCACCUCACCUUUGUGCAUCACCGCGUGGGCUCCUCAAAAGAGGGGCUUGCGUUCUUACACAUAUACACCCUUUUGAAUGCACCGUAGGAUGUCUUGCUUUUAUUAAUAAAUGCAAUCUAAUA